GAAAGCCGGAUGCGUUAGUAGCGCACGUCCGGUUUGACGAGCGGGGUGUGGAAACGGAGCGCAAGCCACCGCGCCACAUCCCGACUCUAC
rnacentral:misc_RNA from 2 species